GAUACCCUUCUCUUGCUAAGUACGAAAGCACUCUGAGCCCUGCAGGUGAUUUGGUUUCGGCCAAGGUCACACUCAAUGCAGCAGUCACAUUAACACUGUGAACUCAUUGAGAGUAGAGUCAGCGCAGCUAGUCUGUAAGUGCUUAGACCCACAAACUCUUUUAGCAUCUGAAAUCAAGCAGGAUCACCCGCUGAACUUAA
rnacentral:misc_RNA from 1 species